AGCUCAGCUGGAUAGAGCAACAGCCUUCUAAGCUGUGGGUCCAGGGUUCGAAUCCCAGC
rnacentral:tRNA from 1 species